rnacentral:rRNA from 1 species
UACAGAGGUCCCAAGCGUUGUUCGGAUUCACUGGGCGUAAAGGGUGCGUAGGCGGCGCGGAAAGUCAGGGGUGAAAUCCUGGAGCUCAACUCCAGAACUGCCUUUGAUACUGAGGAUCUUGAGUACGGGAGAGGUGAGUGGAACUGCGAGUGUAGAGGUGAAAUUCGUAGAUAUUCGCAAGAACACCAGUGGCGGAGGCGGCUCACUGGCCCGUUACUGACGCUGAGGCACGAAAGCGUGGGGAGCAAACAGG